rnacentral:lncRNA from 1 species
CAUCUCCAAUGCGACCCCCCUCCAAAAUGAGAUCACCCCUCUCUGAGUAAUAAUAAUGGUAUGCAUGACUAGAGUCACUCAAGCUCCACCUUGAAGAUAAAAAAUAAUAUAAAAUGACCCAAGAGAGAGGGGGAUAUUGGGGAAGAUACCAUCGUGGAUGAGUCAAGGAAGAUAACAUCAACUGACUCCUGGGACCGGUCGAUGGGCUGUACCUCUCUUCCCCCCCCAUAGGGACGCCUGUGGGGCUCAAAGGCCAUUUGCAGAGGGAACGUCAGAGAACAGAAGCUCAGCUAUAUAAUAAUUAUUUCAUUGUAGAAAGGAAGCUGUUUUAACAGCAGCAUUUUUGGAAGAAAAAGAUAUGUU